GGAUAUGUAGUAGACGGUUUACGGUUUGAUUGCAAAUCUAAUUUAUGAGGUUCGACUCCUCCUUA
rnacentral:tRNA from 1 species